CCCUUAGACGCUCUGGGCUGCACGCGCGCUACAAUAAUACGUUCACUGAGCUCCGACGCCGAUAGGCGGCAGGAAAUCUCUAAAGCGUAUUUUAGUGGGGAUAGAUGAUUGCAAUUUUUCAUCUUGAACAAGGAAUAUCUAGUAAACGCAAGUCAUCAACUUGCAUUGAUUACGUCCCUGCCCUUUGUACACACCGCCCGUCGAUCCUACCGAUUGAAUAAUCCGGUGAAUUGAGUGGAUUUUUGUACUUACUUGUACUUGAAAAAGCUCUGUAAACCUUAUUAUUUAGAGGAAGGACAAGUCGUAACA
rnacentral:rRNA from 1 species